UCGGCGGGGUGGAAGGCGCGGCGCACGGCCUCUCUGCCUCUGCCUCUUUGAGGCACCACUGAUUUCAUGCGAGAGGUCUAAAGACGGAUCAGCAUAGCAGCGCCGCACUUGCACGCACAGGCGCGCCAAUCGGGAUGCAAGCAGAGCUUUCUGCACCUUGCCAUACCCUCUACGACGCCUUCUUGUAGGCUCUAUCGAACUCGCGGCAUUGCAUGAUGCAGCACAUGCGCCCUCCCUCCUUCAAGGCGCUCACAUGUGUAGUACAUGAAGCCAUGUCCGCACUGGACUCUCAUCACAUCUUCUCACACGGACCUCGCCGUCACGUGUAGCAGUCCUGCACUCUGCAAGCCCACUCCCCUCUAUGGACUGCGGACAUGAAAGGCUCAGCGGUUUUCGCUUCUUUGCCACACCGUUUGCUCUCCUUCCUUUUCUCUCGGUGUGUGGGUUUAUGAGCCUGCCCCUGAGCAUUUCACCCGCUAACAACGGGUGAACGCGCACUGAGCCGCCUUCUUCCUUCUCCACCAUACGUAGCGUUCGUUCACCCGCUUUCUUUUCCGAUUUUCUGUUCGCAUUGGCUUCUUUUUUUUUCAAUGUAAAAAAAAAAUUGACUGCGAACAUGGAUUGGGGUGGCGCUGCGCUGCAUUGUUGUGCGAGAGCGCGCGAGCUCCUCGUUUUCUUUCCGACGCCCCAGACCACGCGCAGCGCGACCAAUGCGGGCACCCCGAACGCACAACGGCUCACCUGUUUUGUGGGCAUCUCACGUGUGCUACGGUGCAUGCGAAUCUAUGCGAGUCUCUCUGUCUUUUUGCUCGUUUCCUUGGUUGCCUGGAGAGCUACCGGAUCAGUGUGUUCAUGACCCCUCAAGCGGAGCAAAG
rnacentral:misc_RNA from 1 species